UGAAGCCUACGGGACGCAGCAGUAGGGAAUUUUCGUCAAUGGGCGCAAGCCUGAACGAGCAAUGCCGCGUGAACGAGGAAGGUCUUCGGGUCGUAAAGUUCUGUUGAAGGGGAAAAAGAGCGGAGAGAGGAAAUGAACUCCGAUUGAUAUUACCCUUCGAGGAAGUCACGGCUAACUACGUGCCAGCAGCCGCGGUAAUACGUAGGUGGCGAGCGUUAUCCGGAAUGAUUGGGCGUAAAGGGUGCGUAGGCGGCCUGCUAAGUCUGGAGUGAAAGGUACCGGCUCAACCGGUACAGGCUCUGGAA
rnacentral:rRNA from 1 species